rnacentral:rRNA from 1 species
UACGGGGGGGGGCAAGCGUUGUUCGGAAUUACUGGGCGUAAAGGGCUCGUAGGCGGCCAACUAAGUCAGACGUGAAAUCCCUCGGCUUAACCGGGGGAACUGCGUCUGAUACUGGAUGGCUUGAGAUUGGGAGAGGGAUGCGGAAUUCCAGGUGUAGCGGUGAAAUGCGUAGAUAUCUGGAGGAACACCGGUGGCGAAGGCGACAUCCUGGACCAACACUGACGCUGAGGGUGCGAAAAAGCGUGGGGGGAGCAAAACAGG